GGGUUGGUGGUCUAAUGGUCAGCGCUUCUGCUUCAUAUGCAGAAGGUCAUUGGUUCAAUCCCAGGCCCGUCCC
rfam:Aedes aegypti strain Liverpool supercont1.364 genomic scaffold, whole genome shotgun sequence.